rnacentral:rRNA from 1 species
UACGUAGGGGGCUAGCGUUGUCCGGAUUUAUUGGGCGUAAAGAGCUCGUAGGCGGUGUGUCGCGUCGGUCGUGAAAACUUGGGGCUUAACCCUGAGCUUGCGGUCGAUACGGGCAUCACUGGAGUUCGGCAGGGGAGACUGGAAUUCCUGGUGUAGCGGUGAAAUGCGCAGAUAUCAGGAGGAACACCGGUGGCGAAGGCGGUUCUCUGGGACGGUACUGACGCUGAGACGCGAAAGCGUGGGGAGCGAACAGG